GGGCAGGUGGCGAAACUGGUCAGACGCGGCGGACUUAAAAUCCGCCGGCCGCAAGGCCGUGGGGGUUCGAGUCCCUCCCUGCCCA
rnacentral:tRNA from 1 species